rnacentral:rRNA from 1 species
GACGACCGGCGCACGGGUGAGUAACGCGUAUGCAACCUGCCUUUGACAGAGGGAUAGCCCAUGGAAACGUGGAUUAAUACCUCAUAGUCUCUUUUUCCUUCCUGGGGAAUAGAGUAAAACGAGAGUGGUCAAAGAUGGGCAUGCGUCCUAUUAGGCAGUUGGCGGGGUAACGGCCCACCAAACCGAUGAUAGGUAGGGGUUCUGAGAGGAAGGUCCCCCACACUGGUACUGAGACACGGACCAGACUCCUACGGGAGGCAGCAGUGAGGAAUAUUGGUCAAUGGUCGAGAGACUGAACCAGCCAAGUCGCGUGAGGGACGACUGCCCUAUGGGUUGUAAACCUCUUUUCUACUGGGAGAAUAAGCCUUAUGUAUAAGGUGAUGACAGUACAGUAGGAAUAAGCAUCGGCUAACUCCGUGCCAGCAGCCGCGGUAAUACGGAGGAUGCGAGCGUUAUCCGGAUUUAUUGGGUUUAAAGGGUGCGUAGGCGGCUUUAUAAGUUAGUGGUAAAAUUUCGGAGCUUCACUCCGGUCCGCCAUUAAAACUGUACAGCUAGAGAAUGGACGAGGUAUGCGGAAUAAGUAAAGUAGCGGUGAAAUGCAUAGAUAUAACUUAGAACUCCGACAGCGAAGGCAGCUUACCAGACCAUAACGGACGGUGAUGCAGAGGAGGGGGGGGUAGCGAACAGGAUUAGAUACCAUGGUAGUUCAAGCUGUAAAGGAUGCUCACGGGCCCUUGGGGAUAAGACAGUUAGGGGUUAAUUGAAAGAAUUAAGUGAGCCACUUGGGGAGUACGUCGGCAACGAUGAAACUCAAAGGAAUUGACGGGGGCCCGCACAAGCGGAGGAACAUGUGGUUUAAUUGGAUGAUACGCGAGGAACCUUACCUGGGUUUAAAUGUAUGUUGCAUAAUCUGGAAACAGUUUUUCUCUUCGGAGCUAUAUACAAGGUGCUGCAUGGUUGUCGUCAGCUCGUGCCGUGAGGUGUCGGGUUAAGUCCCAUAACGAGCGCAACCCUUACCGUUAGUUGCUAACAUGUAAUGAUGAGCACUCUAGCGGGACUGCCACCGUAAGGUGAGAGGAAGGGGGGGAUGACGUCAAAUCAGCACGGCCCUUACAUCCAGGGCGACACACGUGUUACAAUGGCCAUAACAGCGGGUAGCUACCGGGUGACCGGAUGCAAAUCUCGAAAAUUGGUCUAAGUUCGGAUUGGAGUCUGCAACCCGACUCCAUGAAGUUGGAUUCGCUAGUAAUCGCGCAUCAGCCAUGGCGCGGUGAAUAGGUUCCCGGGCCUUGUACACACCGCCCGUCAAGCCAUGGAAGCUGGGAGUACUUAAAGUCCGUAACCGCGAGGAUCGGCCUAGGGUA